rnacentral:rRNA from 1 species
AUUGAACGCUGGCGGCAUGCCUUACACAUGCAAGUCGAACGGCAGCACGGGAGCAAUCCUGGUGGCGAGUGGCGAACGGGUGAGUAAUAUAUCGGAACGUGCCCAGUCGUGGGGGAUAACGUAGCGAAAGCUACGCUAAUACCGCAUACGAUCUAUGGAUGAAAGCGGGGGGAUCGCAAGACCUCGCGCGAUUGGAGCGGCCGAUAUCAGAUUAGGUAGUUGGUGAGGUAAAGGCUCGCCAAGCCGACGAUCUGUAGCUGGUCUGAGAGGACGACCAGCCACACUGGGACUGAGACACGGCCCAGACUCUACGGGAGGCAGCAGUGGGGGAAUUUUUGGACAAUGGGCGCAAGCCUGAUCCAGCAAUGCCGACGUGCAGGAUGAAGGCCU